AAGUGGGAACAUAAUUCAUGCUCAGUGGGGAUUUAUGCUAAUUCGCAGCAUAUGUGAUUUCAUUUUGCAAUUAAAACAUUGUCACACAUUCGUACAUGAAACUACUAAGUGAGUGUGAGUUACAGAGAGUAUAAAUAGUUCAGCAUUGCUUCAUAAUAGGGUCAUAACGUUGCUAUCAGUUGUAACAGCAAGUUAAGUGAAAUCAACGUAAAAAUGAAGCUACUGAUUUUAUUCGCUGUGGUUGUGUGUUACGUGAGUGCAGUGGAAGAUACACUGGAAAACUGUCAAUGUCAAAGUGGCUAUGAAGCCGAAAAAUUCAAGAAUGGCGGGGUACAAUGCGUAGGCAUAAUGGUGCAUCAUAUUAUGCCGUGCAACAUCCCGGAAGCACCGCGAUGCAUUUGUACCCAGCAUCCGGUAGAUGCUAUCAGCUACGACAGUGAAGGUACUUGGUGUACUCAGUCGGGGAAUGGUGUACGGUACCUGAAGAAAUGGCCGUGUGAGAAUACGGAAGAAUGGGCAGCGUACAAGGUCAAGCUCGCUGAAUAGAAAACAAGAAAACGCUCAAGGAAUAAGAAUAAAAUAUAUAAAUAUGAAUAUGUUGCUGAUACGAUGAUUAAAUAAAGAUUAUUUUGUGUUAUUCUGAAAAAUUGA